UUUCCCUUUAUUCCUUUCCUUCUUCCUCCCUAGGCCAAGCCCAAGCAUCCCAGCGCCUAGCUCGUCCUUCCCUUCUGUUCUUGUUGUUCUCUUCUUCCUCCUCAAAAAUGCCCCCAAUUUCUAGCCAAAAUUAGUGAGAUUUGUUCCCGUUUAACCCACAAAACUGCAUCCCCUUGCUAUUUAGCAUCCAAUGACACCUUGAUCUACUCUUUUCGUUGAACAUUUUGAGCUAAUUUCGUGUUCCUAAGUUUGGGCAAUGGUGGUGGUUUGGAGGAGUUUGGAGGUGGUGGUGGUGCUCAUCCGGUGACCGUGAAGCUACUCGAGGUUGGGGUUCGCACGCUUUAAGGGUAAAUCCUAAUCUCUCACGUAUUUAUCCUAUAAUGUAUAUGUUUAUGAGGAUAUGUGUGUACGUAUAUAUAGAAGUAUGUUUUAGCGUUUGGUAGUGCUCAUUAUUUUGGACAACUGUUAAUGUCGUACUGCUUAGUAUUUGAUGCAUCUAAAUAUUAUGGCCGGGAGUAAUAUGUUUGAUAGAAUAGAUUUUUUUUUGAUGCCGUACUGCUUAGUAUUUGACGCGUAUUAAUAUUUUUAAUAUGCCGUACUGCUUAGUAUUUGACGCGUAUUAAUAUUUUUAAUAUGCCGUACUGCUUAGUAUUUGACGCGUCUAAACAUUUUUAAUAUGCCGUACUUGUGAUUAUUUGACACGUACUAAUAUUUUUAAUAUGCCGUACUGCUUAGUAUUUGACGCGUCUAAACAUUUUUAAUAUGCUGUACUGCUAAGUAUUUGACGCGUCAUAAUAUUUUUUAUAUGCCGUACUGGUUAGUAUUUGACGCGAAUUAAUAUUUUUUAUAUGCCG
rnacentral:lncRNA from 1 species